rnacentral:tRNA from 1 species
GAAGAUGUGACUCAGUGGUAGAGUACUUGCCUAACAUAAGCAAGGCCCUGAGUUCCAUCCCUAGCAUUUCA